GGGAAUGUAGCUCAGUGGUAGAGUGCUCGCCUAGCAUGCAUGAAGCCCUGGGUUCGAUUCCUCAGCACCA
rnacentral:tRNA from 1 species